rnacentral:rRNA from 1 species
UUCUGGGAGGAUUGACAGAUUGAGAGCUCUUCCAUGAUUCGGGGGAUGGUGUUGCAUGUCCGUUGUUAUUUGGUGGAGUGAUUUGUCUGGUUAAUUUUGAUAACAAACGAUACUCUAGCCUAUUAAAUGGGUGCGUGGUUAUCUGCACCUUGCACCCUUCUGAGAGGGACAAGCGGCUCUUAUCCGCACGAAACAGAGCAAUAACAGGUCUGUGGUGCUCUUAGAU